rnacentral:rRNA from 1 species
GACGAACGCUGGCGGCGUGCUUAACACAUGCAAGUCGAACGGAAAGGCCCUGCUUUUGUGGGGUGCUCGAGUGGCGAACGGGUGAGUAACACGUGAGUAACCUGCCCUUGACUUUGGGAUAACUUCAGGAAACUGGGGCUAAUACCGGAAAGGAGCUCCUGCUGCAUGGUGGGGGUUGGAAAGUUUCGGCGGUUGGGGAUGGACUCGCGGCUUAUCAGCUUGUUGGUGGGGUAGUGGCUUACCAAGGCUUUGACGGGUAGCCGGCCUGAGAGGGUGACCGGCCACAUUGGGACUGAGAUACGGCCCAGACUCCUACGGGAGGCAGCAGUGGGGAAUAUUGCACAAUGGGCGGAAGCCUGAUGCAGCAACGCCGCGUGCGGGAUGACGGCCUUCGGGUUGUAAACCGCUUUCGCCUGUGACGAAGCGUGAGUGACGGUAAUGGGUAAAGAAGCACCGGCUAACUACGU